rnacentral:snRNA from 1 species
AGCUUUGCGCAGAGGCGAUAUCAUAGCCGAUGAGGGCCACCCGAGGCGUGAUUAUUGCUAGUUGAAAACUUUUCCCAAUACCCCGCCUGGAGGACGUGAAAUACCGUCCGACACGGCAAUUUUUAAGAUCUCGAACAGAG